rnacentral:rRNA from 1 species
UACAGAGGUCCCAAGCGUUGUUCGGAUUCAUUGGGCGUAAAGGGUGCGUAGGCGGCGCGGUAAGUCGGGUGUGAAAUCUCGGGGCUUAACUCCGAAACUGCAUUCGAUACUGCCGUGCUUGAGGACUGGAGAGGAGACUGGAAUUCCUGGUGUAGCAGUGAAAUGCGUAGAGAUCAUGAGGAAGACCAGUGGCGAAGGCGGGUCUCUGGACAGUUCCUGACACUGAGACACGAAGGCCAGGGGAGCAAACGGG